CGCGCAGGCCCCCUGGGCCACGCCCGCCCGCCGGCCCUGCCCUCGGCGCCGCCUCCGCCACCUGCACCUGUCUUCCCAGAUGCUCCCGAGUCAUUGGGCGGCCCGCGCACACCCAAUCCGCGCCGUCCAAUCCCGUGGCCACUAACCGUUGCGGGGCUGAGCCUUUGAAACGUGGCCGGUCCACAGAACGCGUGGUCCAUGUCCAUGAAACGUCCAGAAUGGGCUAACGCGCAGCGACGGAAAGUAGACUAGCCGUUGCCAGAGGCUGGGCGAUGGAGAGAACGCGAAGCGACUGGGUGUGCGGUUCCUUGGGGGGCGACGAAAGCGUUCUCUGUUAGGGGUGACGGUUGUACGGAAAACCAUUGCAUGCUAUUUCAAACGGUGAAUUCUAUGCAUAUCAUCAUCCCGUGUCAAUAGGAAGGUUUCCACAUCACUAUUUUUAAAGGUAAUUGACUUAACUUCAAUUCAUGAGAGAAAUGCACGCACAUGGCAAAUAUCCAGAGAGUGUAGAAGAAUAUAAAAUGGGAUAUUGCCAAUUUCUUUUCCCUCAUCUGUAACCCCCCUGCUCCCAUUCUGUAGAAGCUUUUAGCUUCUACUUUGUAAAAAAUAUUGUUGUGUCUGUUCCUUAAUUUAGAAAGAACCUAUUGUUUCCUUACUCUAAAAAAUGAUAAAUUUAUUGCCAUUUGCACCAGCUCUCCUAUCCUCUCCACUUCCUGAUUUUUGUUACUUAAUUUUAUUUCUUCUAGAAAUAAAAGCGAACACCCUUUAUGCCUUAAAAUAUUACACUUAAAACUUUGAAUCUUGACUUUGCCAUUUCUGAGAGUCUUAACUUAGUGUGAAAUGAAGUUGAGGACAUUGGUGAUUCCACUUACAUUCCUCCUCACCUUGCCUCUUCCCUCCCACUUUUUGGUAAUUUACUAAUUUUCCAUCACCCUGGUGAAUGAUAAAUACAUCUUCCAUAUAUAUCACUUGGUUGAUUCAAAAAGUUAAAGUUACUUUACAGUGUCACCAUGGAAAUGGCAUCCCUCAAAAGAGUUCCUUUUUUAGCUUGUGGUGUUUCAGAUUGAUAAUUCUGCCAUUCUCAUUUCAUUUCCUGAAAUUCAGGGUCGGCUUGUGAAAAGUUGUUAAACAACAUGCUAAAUGUGAAAUGUCAAUCCUCACUCUAAACUUUCCCUGUUCAGAGCAUCAAAUGAAGAAUUCAUUGGGUUAUAGCGGCUUUCUGAUUUUGGUAGUCCAUUGAAGAAGGGAGUUUGAAAGUUGUUGUAUACUGAUAACGAUUGUCUGCCCAUGUCCUGCCUGAAAUAGCAUGAUUGUUUAUGAAGGGUAUCUUUAAUAAAGCUGGAUACAGUUUGGCUUGGGAAAAAAAAAAAAAGCUAAAGGUUAAAAGCAACA